rnacentral:rRNA from 1 species
UACGUAGGGGGCUAGCGUUGUCCGGAAUCAUUGGGCGCAAAGAGCGUGUAGGCGGCCCGGUAAGUCCGCUGUGAAAGUCGGGGGCUCAACCCUCGAAUGCCGGUGGAUACUGUCGGGCUAGAGUGCGGAAGAGGCGAGUGGAAUUCCUGGUGUAGCGGUGAAAUGCGCAGAUAUCAGGAGGAACACCGGUGGCGAAGGCGGGUCUCUGGGCCGAUACUGACGCUGAGGAGCGAAAGCGUGGGGAGCGAACAGG